rnacentral:rRNA from 1 species
CUGAAAGCAAGAAAGCAUCCGGUGGAUGCCUUGGCUUGUAUUAAGAAGAAUGGAUCUGUGGACACCAUGAAACACAUCCAAACGUUAGUCCAUGUCCGAUGGCUAACAAGUGAACGUUGAGAACUGAAACAUCUUAGUACCAACAGGUAGAAGAUAAGUAUCACCAUUUCGUGAGUAGCAGUGAGCGAAACCGAACCAGGCCAACAAAGGAUAUAAAUGUGGUCGUUUGGAACAACGAGCCAUGGCUAGUAACAGCCUAGCAACACCGAUACUCCUAAAAUGAUAAAGUAGAACGAGACACAAUGGAUCUCGUCCGAAGAUAGGAGGACCACCUCCUAAGCCUAAAUACUCAUACAAGACCGAUAGUGAACUAGUACCGUGAGGGAAAGGUGAAACAGAUACCCGAACAGGGUAGUGAAACAGAUCCUGAAACCGGAUGCUAACAAGCAGUCGGAGGGUCCAAAGACCUGACGACGUACCUUUUGCAUAAUGGGUCAACGAGUUGUUGUUGUAAGCGAAGCCAUAGCUGAUAUAAAGCGAAGUGAAAACAAGUCUACAAAGGACAACAACAAGUUUACAACAUCAAACCCGAAACCGAGUGAUCUAACCAUGGACAGAUUGAAGGUUGAUAAACAUCAUCCGAAGGAUCGAACCCAUACGUGUUGCAAAACGUUGGGAUGAUCUGUGGUUAGGGGUGAAAGACCAAUCAAACUCGGAGAUAGCUGGUUCUCUGCGAAAUCUAUUUAGGUAGAGUAUCCAACAUACACAUGUUGUGGUAAAGCACUGGAUAGGUUGAGGGCACACAUUGGGCCCGAAACUUAACCAAACUCUGAAUACGAUAUGAUAUUAUUGAAUAAACACACCAUGGGCAUAACGUCCAUGGUGGAGAGGGUAACAACCCAGACCUUGACAUAAGGUCCUUAAAUCUGAUCUAAGUGUAACAAAGGUCAAACCUUCCAUCGAUGAUUAGGAUGUAGGCUUAGAAGCGGCCAUCAUCUAAGGAAAGCGUAACAGCUCACUAAUUUAGAAGUAUUUGACCGAAAAUGUAACGGGACUAAGUUCAGUACCGAAGCCAAGGGCGUUGCCAACCGAGCAACGCAGUAGCAGAGCAUUCCGUAAGCCAAGGAAGACAACCCGUGAGGGUUGUUGGAGGUAUCGGAAGCGAGAAUGUUGACAUGAGUAACGAUAAUUGAAAGCAAGAACCUUUCACACCGAAUGACUAAGGAUUCCUAUUUAAAGCUGAUCUGAAUAGGGUUAGCCGGCACCUAAGGCCAAGCGCAAGCGCAUAACCGAUGGCAAUCACGUCAACAUUCGUGAGCCUAUCUUGGAUGACCUAGACAACAUUGGUGUUCGGUCCACAACGGUUAGAUCGGGCUCAGUGUUGCUUAGCGAGAAACAAUCCAUGAUUUUAUGGCCGUACCAAGAACUGACACAGGUGGUUGGGUAGAGUAUACUAAGGUGAAUGAGAUAAUUGUGUUGAAGGAACUCGGCAAACUGCAUGUGUAACUUCGGAAGAAACAUGGUCUGACCUAUGGGUAACCAUAACCAGAAUAAGAAACCAAGGGGAAGCGACUGUUUAUCAAAAACACAGGACUCUGCCAAAUCGUAAGAUGAAGUAUAGAGUCUGACACCUGCCCGGUGCUGGCAAGUGAAACUCCGGAUGUUCGAAGCAUCCGGUCCAAUCCCCAGUAAACGGCGGCCGUAACUAUAACGGUCCAAAGGUAGCGAAACCCCUUGUCGGGUAAGUUCCGACCAGCAUGAAUGGUGUAACGACUUCCCCGCUGUCUCCAACACAAGCUCAGUGAAAUUGAAAUCCCCGUGAAGAUGCGGGGUACUUGCGGCCAGACGGAAAGACCCCGUGCACCUUUACUGCAACCUUGUAUUGAUGAAAUUGGAACAGCUACACAGAGUAAAUGACUGGCGAUGGCCUUACCACCGACCAUCAAGACCAUAUCCAACACCCAAACAUUCCAACAUCCGGUCAUAACAUCCAACAUCCAGAUGUCAACACCAUCCUGUUAUCUCUUUGAUCUCAAACGAUACCUCCGAUUCUAAACAUAAAACCCAUGUUAACCCAAACCUCCCUGUAACCCCAACCAACAUCUAACACCCAGAUCUUCCAACCUCCCUCUUACGACACACACCCAACCCAACACUGAUAAAUACCCAACAAAAUGUUGAAUCUAAACCUCACACCUAUAGACCAAGUCCAUAGUUAUCACCCAACCUCAAUCCCAUGCCAACCUAACCUCCCACCCAUCCAAACCAACAUCCACCUCCCAUCAACCUCCACCAUACCCAACCUUCCCCCCAUCCAAACCAACAUCCAUCUCCCAUCAACCUCCACCAUACCCAACCCCCCAUACUACUGAUCCAAAUACCAACAAAAUCAUUCCCAACCCCAUCAUCUCGUUUUAACCUCAACAUCCAACCUCCGUCCCCUAUCAACCAACACCUCUACUCCAGAUCUAUCACCCCUUCAGUAACUUAACCCAAACAAGUUAACAACCAACCCCCGAUACAUACAU